AACACGUUGGACUAGUUACAAAGAUGUCAUUAAGGGUUAUUACACUGUCAAAUGCUUUAACAACAGUGUCAUUAAUAUUUCCCCUUAUCUCAAGUAAAGUGGAACAACAGAGAUGUCUUGGUUAUGAUAACUUGACGUUAACCAAGAAAAAAAUGUCUUGGUUAAGAGAACAAAACUGAUUUGGGUAUAAAACAGAAAACAAAAUCAGUCUCCCAUUUGUCGUCUAUGGAGCAGCUCCCAACUUAUGCUUGAUGACAUCACAGGUUCUCUGUAUUUCCUAUGUAGUUGGCUCAAUGUUUACUUGAAAGUCAAAACUUGUGCGACGUCAGAAGCAAUCUUAUUAAAAAACAGACUGGGAUCAAAAUAAAAUGCCAAGAUAGGGUUUUCUUCCCUGCUUGAACAACCUGUUUGGCCUAUCACUGAGAAUGCUCCUUCAGUUGUUCUCAAUAGCAACAUUUUAGUAAAAUUCAUGAAUGUAAAGGAAGGUUAUAGUAGAUCUACCUUUCGUUUGUGGGUAAAUUUGCUCACAUUGAUAACAACAAAGCGAUGACGACCACCAAUUCUCAUUCCUCUCUUACUCAGGCGCUUAACGGCAGAAAUGCACACCUUCAAAUGUAAAAAAAAUCAGCAAGUUCACUUGUGAUAAUGCCUUACAAUGGAAUCUGAUAAAUAUAAUGUAUGUGCAAGUUUAGGGAUAAAGUGUGUAUAUGUGCGUUUCCACGCUACUACUUUUCUUAAAUAACAAAAGAUAAUAUAGCUAAGUUGACAGUUAUCUAUUUAGCGUUACCACCUUGCGAUCGCAUUUUACCAGCUGCAGCUGCUUCGAUGGCAUUUUGCACUGUUCCUCCUCCUCUUCAGAAUACCCCAUUUCUGCAUCCAUUUCAUUAUUCAUCUUUUGUUUUUCUUUGUAUGAGGAAGCCUAAUAUUUUUAAGGAGUCCUUGUAAUAAUCGUGUCAUUAUUUUUACAGUAUGUGGUCUUACGACACACUUUUGGGUCGGCUUUUCAUAUUAGGACAGGAAGUACAUCGCUUGACUUCUUCCUCGUCACGCUUUAAGUUACCAGACAGAAUAGCGACUCCAUGUGUGUACAUUAACGUGACAUUCAAAUAACAUCGUCAUCUUGCGCGCCUAACAUAAGAGACAACGAGCAGACCAGUCCUCCUGUGUGAAAGGAAACAGAAGUUAAGUUACCCUCCAUAUUUGAGGUAAGCUUAAUAUUUAAUUUAGAUCUUUGGGAACAUAACAUUGGGGAAUAUUUUUUGUUCUAGGUAAAGUUAGCUUUCAGCAAUUAACGUUAAUGCUUGCUCUAAGUUUAAAUUAGCUAAAGUUAACAAACUCCAUAACGUUUGCCAUUGAUCUUGAACGCAUUUUAAAGCCAAUUUUAAUCUAGCAAAUUAGUAACAUUACUACUAGGUUAGUCAAAGUUACCCGUUGUGUGUUUUAAGCAACUUGGCUGAUGUGCUUUGCCAACUUUAGCCAGAUGGAGGCUCGUUUUAGCAAAAGGACACACGGUGGGGGGAUAAAGGACGUUGAAGAAGACCUGCUACAGGUUGUGGAGGAGGCGAACGAGCACCAGCCACAAGAUGUAGAAGAAGUCCCUGUUCGACCAAAGACAAAGAAGCAGAUGAAAUAUUCCCCGAGGAAAUUAUGGUCACCAAUGGGCAGUGGAGUUGGCCAAACUGAAACAACAAACAAAGAAGAAGAUAGAACACCUUGAGGACCGUAUUAAACAUCUGCAGGAGGCCAACAGGGAGUUGAAAAACGAAGAAGACUUCCUUCUAACCCAAAUUAAGGAAGCCACUGUGGUGCCUGCAUCUAGUGGCAAAUCAGGCUCUAGAAAGACUGCUCGGGUUCCUCCUUCAUCUUCAACGUCUCCUACUGCCUCCUCUUCCUCCGCAGACUUCAGCUCCUCAUCAUCCUCAGAGGAAGAGGAGAAGAAGAAAAGGAAGAAGAAGAAGUCCAAGAAACACACUGAUUCACAUUUACCCUAAAGUUGCCCAUUACUUAACUGUCUAAAGCUGAUGAUACAGGGAGCUUCUUUUAGAGCAGUGGUGCUGGGCAAUGUUGUCAAUGGUAAUGAGUUAAGAUUACUACUGUAGUCACCCACCCCACCCUGCCCCUUUCCAUUCAAAACAUAGUUGAACUUGCCACUAGCAACAUUGCCCAGCAACAUUGCUCAAAAAGUUGCCCCAUGUAUCAUCAGCUUAAGAAACAGCUUAGUACUUAGUUAAUAAUAUUCAGAGAGGGCCUAAGAGAUGCUACGUCAUGUCCAUCUUUAAUAUUUAUUGUUAUAUUUUAGUAUUCAGUGAUUUAGAUGUCUACAGCCCUGUGUAAUAGCAACCUCACUCUCAUCAGCUUAUGUUAGCUAUACAAUAUAUAAUAAUAUAAUAAGUAUAUUUAUAUCCUCUGAAGGAGAUAAGAAAGAACUAUGCUUACUGUGCUGGUUCACUGUGCAUCCUCCUCCCAGGCGGGUUAUGUUUUAGUUCUUUUUUUUUCAAGUGACCACGGUGGAUGGAGUGAUCAGCCGCUAUGAGAAUGCCCUGAAGAGAUUCACCAAGUUCUCAAGCAUGAAAAAGGCCUUCACCAAGAUUAAUGUUGACAACAUGAUUGCAAGAUAGCUGUAAUUGCUGAGCUAGCGAUCACAUUUCCGGACACCUUCAAGGACCUGCUCCCAGGAAACGAAGAUAACGAGAAGAUCUCCCAGUUUGCAGAGCGCUGUAGGAAGGCUAUAACGAAGGAGAUGGCUGAAAUGAUCACAGCAAAAAAAA